rnacentral:rRNA from 1 species
UGGGGAAUUUUGGACAAUGGGCGCAAGCCUGAUCCAGCCAUGCCGCGUGCGGGAAGAAGGCCUUCGGGUUGUAAACCGCUUUUGUCAGGGAAGAAAUCUUCUGAGUUAAUACCUCGGGAGGAUGACGGUACCUGAAGAAUAAGCACCGGCUAACUACGUGCCAGCAGCCGCGGUAAUACGUAGGGUGCAAGCGUUAAUCGGAAUUACUGGGCGUAAAGCGUGCGCAGGCGGUUUUGUAAGACAGAGGUGAAAUCCCCGGGCUCAACCUGGGAACUGCCUUUGUGACUGCAAGGCUUGAGUGCGGCAGAGGGGGAUGGAAUUCCGCGUGUAGCAGUGAAAUGCGUAGAUAUGCGGGGGAACACCGAUGGCGAAGGCAAUCCCCUGGGCCUGCACUGACGCUCAUGCACGAAAGCGUGGGGAGCAAACAGGAUUAGAUACCCUGGUAGUCCACGCCCUAAAGCGAUGUCAACUGGUUGUUGGGAAGGUUCCUUCUCAGUAAACGUAGCUAACGCGUGAAGUUGGACCGCCUGGGGAGUACGGCCGCAAGGUUG